rnacentral:rRNA from 1 species
CAGGAGAUGCAAGUGUUAUCCGGAAUUAUUGGGCGUAAAGGGUCUUGAGGUGGCUAGCCAAGUCUAUUGUGAAAGAUCAGGGCUUAACCUUGAACAUGCGAUAGAAACUAGCAAGCUUGAGUACAGUAGAGGUGGAGGGAAUUCUCGGUGGAGCGGUGAAAUGCAUAGAUAUCGGGAAGAACACCAAAGGCGAAGGCACUCCGCUGGGCUGAAACUGACACUGACAGACGAAAGCUAGGGAGCGAAAGGGAUU